UGAGCUUAGGCCGGCUGGUGUUUUCCUUUCCGGGCCGCAGCAUAGCAUCGUGUCUUCUCACGCCUGCCUGCCGAGCCCUAGUUCUUGUUCGGCGCUGUUGGAUUGAGCUCAGGUCUUCCCCGAGCCUUUCCUUCCCCGAUCCUUCCUCUCUGUUUUGCCGAUCCUUUCUUCCCCGAUUCGAUCGCCGGCUUGAAGAUGCCCUAGGGUUUCGAAGGUCACGGAUUUGGAGAGGUUGGAAUCAGGGAGGUGUUGUUGGAUUAGGGGAAGGAAUCAGAUCAGACUCGUGCUAGGUUUUCCCUUGAUCGGAUCAGUGGACCUCCACCUCCUUGCUGUUGAUUGAGGUCUCAAAUUGAAGGUUAGGUACUGUGGGGUUUUGGUUGGUGGUCAGUAAUUGCAUCCGGGCAGAAAGGUAGAUUCUAGCAGCUCAUCCGGCAGGACCUCUUUCCGGCAGCCCUCUUGUUGACUGAGCUUGAGGUUGAGGCCGUCAGGAGAGAUUCCAGUCGCUAGCCCCU